GUUGAAACACCGAUUUCUUACGAUCACCGAAAUUAAGCAACAUAGAGCCUGGUGAGUACCUGGAUGGGUGACCACUUGGGAAUACUAGAUACUGUAAG